AGUGAACGCUGGCGGUAGGCCUAACACAUGCAAGUCGAACGGCAGCACAGUAAGAGCUUGCUCUUACGGGUGGCGAGUGGCGGACGGGUGAGGAAUACAUCGGAAUCUACUUUUUCGUGGGGGAUAACGUAGGGAAACUUACGCUAAUACCGCAUACGACCUACGGGUGAAAGCAGGGGAUCUUCGGACCUUGCGCGAUUGAAUGAGCCGAUGUCGGAUUAGCUAGUUGGCGGGGUAAAGCCCACCAAGGCGACGAUCCGUAGCUGGUCUGAGAGGAUGAUCAGCCACACUGGAACUGGGACACGGUCCAGACUCCUACGGGAGGCAGCAGUGGGGAAUAUUGGACAAUGGGCGCAAGCCUGAUCCAGCCAUACCGCGUGGGUGAAGAAGGCCUUCGGGUUGUAAAGCCCUUUUGUUGGGAAAGAAAAGCAGCAGGUUAAUACCCCGCUGUUCUGACGGUACCCAAAGAAUAAGCACCGGCUAACUUCGUG
rnacentral:rRNA from 1 species